GCUUUAAGUGGAUCGAUAACGCUCGUCCAAACUUGAGGAAAUUCGUUAACUGGAAGUACUUUAUAGUUUAUAAAUCUUUCCUGAGAGCUGGGAAUGUAGGAAGGAAGGCAAACGGGCAUGGUUAUGUAUCUGGCUUCGUUUGAUGUAGAAGAUUCGUUGCUAUCUGAAAAUGAAAGAGUAAACUGAACGUUAUAAUGGUGACUAAUACUCUCGUGAUGCUCGUUUAGCGAAUUUAGUUGCAUUCAACAAUGCGGUAUCCAGUGAGUAAGCGCGCAAAUAUCGUCCGAACGUAUAACAGUCCCGAAACUGUAUAGAGUUUUAAUAUUAAAACGCGCGUAUGGAAAGAUGUAGAACGAAAUGCUGAAACAACAUUUUACCAUUAAAAAAAAUGCGAAAGAUAGAUUUGUUUGUAUAACGUUCUCAUAUAGAACACGUGCGAAAAAUGUCACGAAACAAAUUGAGCGUAUUCGGAAAGAUUUCAUCAUCCUGGAAACUAUCCAAGUAAAAAAAAAAAAACUAGGCUGUUUGCUUUCGGACCGGGGAAGUAUGGCGUGAUUUUAUUAUUUAUAAAUAAAAUAAUAAUAACUAAAUAUGUAUCCUACCUCCCUCUCCGCUCAUGGGAGAUCUCAGUACGGUUCUUCUCUCGACAUUUUCCAUUCCCCGCGUUACGUGAGGUGCCAUCACGACCUUAGCUUCUGCUAGUCUGAUAACGGAAAGCAUAAGUUUGCGCAAGGUGAUCAAAGUGUGAAUAUUGCACAAUUACGUCAUCCGAUGAUGUCAUUGACUUACGCAUUUUGAAAUUCGUUUUAAAGAUUACGCAACGGCGCCGGAAUGUGACAACAGCUGCCAGUUUACAUCGAUUUUUUAUUUCGCUCUAGUAGAAAAAAAACUCGAUCCCGUAUCCACGGGAUUUUUGUCGAUUGUUGCUUCCCGUCUUUUUUAUCUGUUACACAAUACUACAACAUUGAAAGAAACACGUCCACAUAAUGAUGUUUUGAUUGGGAAAGGACAGUUUCGACGAAACCGAGAGGUGUUUCGAAAGCUUAAUUACUUAUUGCGUCAUCCGCUGACGAAACGGCGCUCUGACGUCAUCGGCCCUGAAUUAUUCUUCCUGCUCUUGUUUUCCAAAGGUAUAACAGGAUAUUUGUUUUCGGCAGAAUUUUGUAACUUCGACUACGAUUUUUUUUAUAUAACUUGCUGAUGUUAUAACUUUUGCGGAACCGUUGAUAAUUUAUCAGUUAGAAAAUAAAUAAGGGAUGUGUUGCAUCAACAGAUUAAAGCUUACUAUUGAGAAGAAACAAUAAUACAGUAACUCCCAAUUGAUUUUUCAGAAUUAUAUAUGAUAAGCUAGAUAAAUAAAAAAAUCUGUUGCAAUAUUUCUAGAAUUUUGGAAAAAUGUGAUGAUAAACAACAAAAAUAUCUAGCAAGUAAGAUAAGAAAAAGAUAAAAGCAUAAAAUGGAUGAAAAAUAUAGAAAGAGAAUGGAUUGAAUGCCUUGUGAUUAAGAUAUUAACUCCAAACCAAGCACUUUGCCAAGUAAUUUCGGCUAAUCGCCAUCAUCGGCUCUAUGCAAAAACAUACAGAACAAUUUUCAGUAUCCUGAUAUUUUUUCCCCCACAAGAAUUUUGGAAAAAUACCAAUUACAUUCUCGGAAAAUAUCGUUUCUCCGUCAUUCUUUACGGUGGAAAUUUUUAUGUGGAUACUCAAAAUUAUCAGUAAAGACUUUGUGAACAUCAGCUGGAUUUAUAAGUAUAACAGACUCUAAACUGAAUCAUUUAAUAUCUUUUCAAUAAAGCAUGAAGGCAAAAACUGUAUGCAGCUUAUUUAGUUUAUAUAUAAAUUCAGCCCUAAUAAACAUGUAGGAUUGCAU
rnacentral:lncRNA from 1 species